rnacentral:other from 1 species
GCCCCACUGAAGUGUUCGCCAGCAAAGCGUAUUCCUGAGCCGAUAAUCUUACUUUAGGAACGCAUUCCUACUAUUUUGUUGAGCAGGCCUGCAUCCUUGUGAUGUAUCAGGAAGCCGUAAUAAAUAGUGAUGCCUUCCGCCUUGAACUUCACGGUUCAUGGUAACCCCUUUGCAGCGGCACUUUGGUUUUUUU